rnacentral:rRNA from 1 species
CCUACGGGGGGCAGCAGUGGGGGAUAUUGCACAAUGGGGGAAACCCUGAUGCAGCGACGCCGCGUGGGUGAGGAAGCACCUCGGCGCGUAAAGCCCUAUCAGCAGGGAAGAAAAUGACGGUACCUGACGAAGAAGCCCCGGCUAACUACGUGCCAGCAGCCGCGGUAAUACGUAGGGGGCAAGCGUUAUCCGGAUUUACUGGGUGUAAAGGGGGCGUAGACGGGGAUGCAAGCCAGGAGUGAAAACCCGGGGCCCAACCACGGGACUGCUUUUGAAACUGGGUGGCUAGAGUGCAGGAGGGGUAGGCGGAAUUCCUGGUGUAGCGGUGAAAUGCGUAGAUAUCAGGAGGAACACCGGUGGCGAAGGCGGCUUGCUGGACUGCAACUGACGUUGAGGCCCGAAAGCGUGGGGAGCAAACAGGAUUAGAUACCCUAGUAGUC